rnacentral:misc_RNA from 1 species
AGAAGGAACAGAGUGUAAAAAGAAAAAAAAAAUCCAAUGACAAACAAGAAGACAAAGUGUGUACAAAUGCAUAUGCAAGAUGUAAAAUUUCUGGGAAAGAAUGCUUGAAAAUUUUCAAAUUAUACUAAAUAUAAAAAAUUAAACUCUGCUCAUCCGAAAAAGUAGAGACAAAAAAUAACAAAAUAUUGCAAAACAGCACAUUAAAUAGAACCACUUUCAAA